AUUCAGAGGAAGGAGACCGAAUCCAGCCUGGGCACAGGAGGGAAAGCGUCCUGGAGGCAGCUGGUCCCCAGGUGGCCCUUAAGGAUAAAGAAAAGUUAGCUUGGUGAAGGGCUGAGGAAGGCAGUGAGCCUUCUAGGAAGAGGGGAGAAAUCAAGCACAGGCGUGGCCCUGACACGGAGGGCUGCACAGAAGGUGGCUCUCACUGGGAACAUGGCCAAGAGUGGACAACACCUGGGGACCCCUGCCGAAUCUGCCGGUGCCUGGAGGGUCACAUCCAGUGCCGCCAGCGAGAAUGUGCCAGCCUGUGUCCAUACCCAGCCCGGCCCCUCCCAGGCACCUGCUGCCCUGUGUGUGAUGGCUGUUUCCUAAACGGGCGGGAGCACCGCAGCGGGGAGCCUGUGGGCUCAGGGGACCCCUGCUCGCACUGCCGCUGUGCUAAUGGGAGUGUCCAGUGUGAGCCUCUGCCCUGCCCGCCAGUGCCCUGCAGACACCCAGGCAAGAUCCCUGGGCAGUGCUGCCCUGUCUGCGAU
rnacentral:lncRNA from 1 species